UUGCAAAUCAGAAACUUGAAGAUGAAAUGGCUAGUACGCUGGGUAUUGCCUUUAUCUUGAAUGCCAGCCUGAUGGUCCAAGGUGAACAAGCCUUCCUGUGUUUUCUGAAUGGGCAGUUCCCCCGCACUUUGCCUGCCACCAUGUAAGAUGUGUCUUUGCGCCUCCUUUGCCUUCCGCCAUGAUUGUGCGGCCUCCCCAGCCAUGUGGAACUGUGGUCUGGGAUCUGUCAGGAUCAACAGGCCAUGAGAGAGACUGACCCAGAGGACUACUAAAAGGGACACCUGCCCAAGCCAGCCUGUUCUACCAUGCUCAUCCUCCUGCAAAACCAAGGCCACAUCAUUUCAGCAGAGGACCUGAGUGCGGAAGGACCCUGCAGCUGGCCCAUCAUAGGAGAGGCCCAGACUCACCUCCCAAGGGGACCCUGGCACAUGAAGAUGCUGGUUCUCCUGGGAGUGCUGCCCUGGCCCACAGGAUAGAAGCGCAGGAUGGUCACCCAUGUCUGCUCUUAUUGAAUGUGUCUUAGAAGUGG
rnacentral:antisense_RNA from 1 species